CCUACGGGUGGCAGCAGUGGGGAAUAUUGGACAAUGGGCGAAAGCCUGAUCCAGCCAUGCCGCGUGUGUGAAGAAGGCCUUCGGGUUGUAAAGCACUUUCAGUGGGGAAGAAAGCCUUGGGGCUAAUACCCUCGAGGAAGGACAUCACCCACAGAAGAAGCACCGGCUAACUCCGUGCCAGUAGCCGCGGUAAUACGGAGGGUGCGAGCGUUAAUCGGAAUUACUGGGCGUAAAGCGCGCGUAGGCGGUCUGAUAAGCCGGUUGUGAAAGCCCCGGGCUCAACCUGGGAACGGCAUCCGGAACUGUCAGGCUAGAGUGCAGGAGAGGAAGGUAGAAUUCCCGGUGUAGCGGUGAAAUGCGUAGAGAUCGGGAGGAAUACCAGUGGCGAAGGCGGCCUUCUGGACUGACACUGACGCUGAGGUGCGAAAGCGUGGGUAGCAAACAGGAUUAGAUACCCGUGUAGUC
rnacentral:rRNA from 1 species